rnacentral:rRNA from 1 species
GAUGAACGCUGGCGGCGUGCCUAAUACAUGCAAGUCGAGCGAAUGGAUUGAGAGCUUGCUCUUAUGAAGUUAGCGGCGGACGGGUGAGUAACACGUGGGUAACCUGCCCAUAAGACUGGGAUAACUCCGGGAAACCGGGGCUAAUACCGGAUAACAUUUUGAACCGCAUGGUUCGAAAUUGAAAGGCGGCUUCGGCUGUCACCUAUGGAUGGACCCGCGUCGCAUUAGCUAGUUGGUGAGGUAACGGCUCACCAAGGCAACGAUGCGUAGCCGACCUGAGAGGUUUGUCGGCCACACUGGGACUGGGACACGGCCCAGACUCCUACGGGAGGCAGAAGUAGGGAAGCAUUCGCAAUGGACGAAAGUCUGACGGAGCAACGCCGCGUGUGUAAUGAAGGCUGUCGGGUCGUAAAACUCUGUUGUUAGGGAAGAACAAGUGCUAGUUGAAUAAGCUGGCACCUUGACGGUACCUAACCAGAAAGCCACGGCUAACUACGUGCCAGCCGCCGCCGUAA